rnacentral:rRNA from 1 species
UACGGGGGGGGCAAGUGUUAUUCGGUCAAACUGGGCGUAAAGCGUCUUUAGGCUGUUCUUUGUGAGUUAGCGACUAAAGUUCAGAGAGUAAUCCUGGAAUGUUCGCUAAGACCAUUUUUCUUGAGUUUGGGAGGGGUGGGCGGUAUUUCUUCAGUGCUGUUAAAAUGGUAUAGGAGAGAGAGCCCCAAGGGUGAAGACAGCCCACUAGCUCAAACUGACGCCAAAGGACUAAAGCAUGGGGAGCGAUCGGG